UGGAGAUUCUCCUGUCUUUCCUGGCUGUUACACAUUUUCUCCUCUUCGUAGUAGAGCCAAAAUAUGAUCCAGAAAUUUUUUUUCAUGCUUUCCUGCAAUAUUUCUGGUUGUUCUGUAUCAAGUAUUUUGUGUCUUUAUUGUUUCAUUUUCUUCACUCUCUCAGUGUUUACAGGAGUAACGGAGCAGGUUUGAUUUGAGGUUUGCUUUUAAGAAAAACCUGAAAUCCUGUCAUAACAGAGUGCAUGGCAUGAUUUGUGUCAUUGUCCCUCCCCUCAAACAGGUGGCGCUGAAAAAGCCCUAAGCUAUGUAGUUCAGUCUCUUCUGUCUAGAAAACUGGAGCAAGAGUCUUGCACAAGGUCCUGUGGAGGAUUAGAGCAGCUUAGUGUUUCAACUAUUUUGUUUUCAAGCUUGUGAAUGUGAAGGCGUGCAGGAGAAAUGAGGCUUUUGCUGGCCAUCACUCUCAUUCUCCUCUUCCUAUGGCUUCACAAGGCUCAGAUGUCUAAUGACACCUCGCAUGGAGGACCUUGUGAGGUAGGCUUAUGCAAUUAAAUGCCACAGUGGUUUGUAGGUCAAGAGAUGGAUAGGAAAUUUUUAAAACAGGAUGUAGUUACCAACACUUUUCUCCUAAUUAUUUUAACUUACAACUUACUUGUUACAGCCAAUGGUUCAGUUUCAGCAGGGAAAAACUGUUGCAUGCUAUACCCAUAUGUGUUUCCUAUUGCAGUCACAGUUUCCCUCAGCUCUGUGGAGCAUUUCAUCGUCUUUCAGCUCAUUGUUUUGGUUUUCUGAUCCAUAACUUUAAUUUCCGUCACUAUCCACCCCCUCAGAGAGUCGUUUCCAUUUGCAGCACGCAAACUUGCCCAACACUAAAUGGCAGACAGGCACAGCUAGCAACAAGCGAGUGGAGUUACUGAAGCAUUUAACAACUAAAAAGCCAGACAUCUCCCUCAGGAGAUGGCAGAGACCAAGCCAGAGCUAAAAGACUUAUAAUUGUCAGGUGGCCAGAAACACGAUUUCAAAACAAUGAUAAUGAUGCUCCAUGUCUGCUGAAUAGAUAGACAGCUGUGUGCUACCAUGUUCAGUGUAUCCACUUAAAAGGUGAUCAUAUGUAAUUUUAUCACUGCUCUGCUAGACACCAGUUGCUUUUCAUUAACAUGUCACAUUUCCAUCUGCGUUUUUAUUUAUUUAUUUUUUUUUAUAAAUCUUUUAGGCAGAAUCCAUGAGCAAGGCAGCAGUGUCUCUCCUCCUGUCUCCUCUGUCUCUGUACUCCUGGCUCACCUCCACACUGCUCAGGCUCGUCUUAUCAGUCCCAGCUCUUGUCCUCAGCUCCCUCUAUCACUCCGUGCUGCUGCUCCUGGCCUGGCCUUGGUGCGUUGCCAACGUCUGUGUCUCCCUGCUUCUGACCUGUCUCCAUGUAGUCCUGUACCUGAUUCACCUGGUCCUGGUGGUUGGGGUUGUGGCCGUUUUGACCUUCAUGCAGCGCAAAACGGCUGACAGUGACACCACCAGUGAGAAAGUGUUGUACCUGCAGGAGAAACUGAAAGAGAUGCGUCACACCAGAACCAGACCGAGGUUGUUUGGUCGUAGAGUCGUGCAGCAAGGCUGAAUUCUGCUGUAAAAUGAUGUUAUUGUGUGUUUCUUUGAAUAAAAAUCCUCCUCAGUUUGAUUUGCA